rnacentral:rRNA from 1 species
UACGGAGGGUGCGAGCGUUGUCCGGAAUCAUUGGGCGUAAAGGGCGCGUAGGUGGCACGAUCAGCGUGCGGUGAAAGCUCGGGGCUCAACCCCGAGUCGGCCGUGCGAACUGAGUCGCUUGAGCACUGUAGAGGCAGGCGGAAUUCCGGGUGUGAGCGGUGGAAUGCGUAGAGAUCCGGAAGAACACCGGUGGCGAAGGCGGCGACCUGGAAGGUAACUGACACUGAGCAGCGAAAGCGUGGGGAGCAAACAGG